AAUUUGUUAUGACUUUUUUUUUCACAGAUAAAGCAUUAGAUCGUUCUAGAGAUAUAAUUGAAAAGACUGUAGAUGCAAUUGAACCUUACAUAAAGAAGAUAGAUGAAAUACAACCUGGCACAUUAGAAAUGGUAGAAAAUAUCAGAAGUAAAGCUUCUGACACUCUGGAUAAAAUCAAGCAAUAUAUUCGUAAAGAUAAGGAUGAACUUUGAAUGCUGAAUGGAAUAAAUACACCAUGCAGUGACUUCUCCACAAUUAAAUUGGAAUGUUCCUAAUAAUAUUUUAAAUAAAAUAUUUUCAUAAAAGUGA